ACAUGGACAGGAGUCUGGGGUCAGACCAUGGGGGUGGGUAGUCUGGAGGUCCCAGGGCCUUUGAUGGAGGGGCCAGCAGCAAGGCCCCACGGGGUGGGCCGGAAGGCACAGUUCAUACAUGCCCUCCUCCUGCCAUCCCGGCCUUGCACACAUUGGCACUGACAACCAUCAGCCCUGCCUCUGCCUCUUGCCCGUGUCCCGGGCCCAGGUGCCGUCUCCACCUCCACCCUUGGGACCAAAGUAGAGUCAGAGGGAGGGCAACAUCUGGAAUGCAGGUGGGCUGGGUCAGAACAGCAGCUGGAGGGCAGGUGUAGAGGGAGUCAGCAGGAGCAAAGGGGCCUGGGGGCUGGAGGUGGGCCCGGUGCACAGCUGCAUCACAGCUGGUGGGGGCCCAGGCUGGGACUGAAGGGGCACAUGGCUGAGAUCGGGAGAAGGUGGGCUGGGUUGGGUGAGCCGAAG
rnacentral:lncRNA from 1 species